GAACGCUGGCGGCAUGCCUUACACAUGCAAGUCGAACGGCAGCACGGGAGCAAUCCUGGUGGGCGAGUGGCGAACGGGUGAGUAAUAUAUCAGAACGUGCCCAGUCGUGGGGGAUAACGUAGCGAAAGCUACGCUAAUACCGCAUACGAUCUAUGGAUGAAAGCGGGGGAUCGCAAGACCUCGCGCGAUUGGAGCGGCCGAUAUCAGAUUAGGUAGUUGGUGAGGUAAAGGCUCACCAAGCCGACGAUCUGUAGCUGGUCUGAGAGGACGACCAGCCACACUGGGACUGAGACACGGCCCAGACUCCUACGGGAGGCAGCAGUGGGGAAUUUUGGACAAUGGGCGCAAGCCUGAUCCAGCAAUGCCGCGUGCAGGAUGAAGGCCUUCGGGUUGUAAACUGCUUUUGUACGGAACGAAACGGUGAGCUCUAAUACAGUUUGCUAAUGACGGUACCGUAAGAAUAAGCACCGGCUAACUACGUG
rnacentral:rRNA from 1 species